rnacentral:tRNA from 1 species
GGGGCGGUAGCUCAGGUGGGAGAGCACCUGGUUUGCAACCAGGGGGUCGGGGGUUCAACUCCCCUCCGCUCCA